rnacentral:rRNA from 1 species
UACGUAGGGGGCCAGCGUUGCUCGGAAUUACUGGGCGUAAAGGGUCCGUAGGCGGUGUGGUAAGUCGGGAGUGAAAUCUCUGGGCUUAACCCAGAGGCUGCUUCCGAAACUGCCGUGCUAGAGUGUGAGAGAGGCGAGUGGAAUUACGGGUGUAGCGGUGAAAUGCGUAGAUAUCGGGAGGAACACCUGUGGCGAAAGCGGCGCACUGGACCACAUCUGACGCUGAGGCGCGAAAGCUAGGGGAGCAAACAGG